rnacentral:rRNA from 1 species
CAGCCGCCGCGGUAACACGUAGGGUGCAAGCGUUAAUCGGAAUUACUGGGCGUAAAGCGUGCGCAGGCGGUUAUAUAAGACAGAUGUGAAAUCCCCGGGCUCAACCUGGGAACUGCAUUUGUGACUGUAUAGCUAGAGUACGGCAGAGGGGGAUGGAAUUCCGCGUGUAGCAGUGAAAUGCGUAGAUAUGCGGAGGAACACCGAUGGCGAAGGCAAUCCCCUGGGCCUGUACUGACGCUCAUGCACGAAAGCGUGGGGAGCAAACAGGAUUAGAUACCCCUGUAGUCCCUGUCUCUUAUAC